rnacentral:miRNA from 1 species
UCCCUUCCGGUCAUCAAUGGUCUCGAUGACCGGAAGGGAUUCCUUCCGGUCAUCAAUGGUCUCGAUGACCGGAAGGGAUUCCUUCCGGUCAUCAAUGGUCUCGAUGACCGGAAGGGA